AACGAACGCUGGCGGCAGGCCUAACACAUGCAAGUCGAGCGAGGACUUCGGUCCUAGCGGCGGACGGGUGAGUAACGCGUGGGAACGUGCCCUUUGCUUCGGAAUAGCCCUGGGAAACUGGGAGUAAUACCGGAUGAGCCCUUUGGGGGAAAGAUUUAUCGGCGAAGGAUCGGCCCGGGUUGGAUUAGGUAGUUGGUGGGGUAAUGGCCGACCAAGCCGGCGAUUCAUAGCUGGUUUGGGAGGAUGAUCAGCCACACUGGGACUGCGACACGGACCCGACCCCUACGGGAGGCAGCAGUGGGGAAGCAUAGACAAUGGGGGAAACCCUGAUCUAGCCAUGCCGCGUGAGCGAUGAAGGCCUUAGGGUUGUAAAUCUCUUUCAGCUGGGAAGAUAAUGACGGUACCAGCAGAAGAAGCCCCGGCUAACUCCGU
rnacentral:rRNA from 1 species